UGUCUGGGUCUAUUUCUGGGCUCUCAGUUCUCCCCCCACACUGUUCCAUUGGUCUCUAUCUGUGUUUCUACCCAUACCAUACUAUUUUGAUAUGUAGUUUUAUAAUAUUCUUUGAAGUCAGGGAGUGUGAUACUUCCAGCUUUGUUAAUUUGUCACAGGAUUACUUUGGCUUUUGGGGGUCUUUUGUGGUUACAUACUACAAAUUUUUU